GAAUUCUCUUCAUUUCUCUUCAUAUUCAUCAGCUGAAAAACAGCCAUGGAGGAGGGUUCAAGCUGGUUUUCAUACUCUAGCUUCAUUGCUCGGAAGCUCGUAAAGGUUGGAGGUUGGUCGGAGCAACAUCACACUAUCCAUCAUCUUGUUUUGGUAUAAAAAGUAAUCUUAUUUUGAUAUAAUGGCAUGUAUAGGUUAUCUUGGCCAAUGUUGGCAUGAAAAUAGUUGUUGUAACUUAGCCAUUGGAAUGGCUAAUAGUGGUUUGUUUUGGCAAAUUUUAAUAGGGUUAUAUAUAUAUCAUAUCAUGUUUAACUUAUAUGUAUGUGGUUUGAUUUGAUUGAAUUAUGUUAAAUAAAUGUGUUUAUAAAAAAAUAAGGAUAUAAA